GACGAUCAGUGCAAAAAUCAACUUCUCAAGUUCAGAAUAUCUGAUAUCUGCAUUAUGGAGGACCUUAUUGGUAUAGUACAUAGGCCUUUGUGCUUGUCUUUUUUUUCGAUCCAGAAUUGAGCCGACUACGACAGGAGAGAUGGCAAUAUAGAAAAACAACUCUUCGUCAGGCUGAGGCUUCGAGAGUAACGGUGGGGAGUUGAGAUACUGCUUCAAUUCCUCAAAU
rnacentral:lncRNA from 1 species